AUUGAACGCUGGCGGCAGGCUUAACACAUGCAAGUCGAGCGAGCGGCGGACGGGUGAGUAAUGUCUGGGAAACUGCCUGCUGGAGGGGGAUAACUCCUGGAAACGGUAGCUAAUACCGCAUACCAUCAGAUGUGCCCAGAUGGGAUUAGCUAGGUGGUGGGGUAAUGGCUCACCGAGGCGACGAUCCCCAGCUGGUCUGAGAGGAUGACCAGCCACACUGGAACUGAGACACGGUCCAGACGCCUACGGGAGGCAGCAGUGGGGAAGAUUGAACAAUGGGCGGAAGACUGAUGCAGCCAUGCCGCGUGUGUGAAGAAGGCCUUCGGGUUGUAAAGCACUUUCAGCGAGGAGGCGUUACUCGCAGAAGAAGCACCGGCUAACUCCGUGCCAGCAGCCGCGGUAAUAC
rnacentral:rRNA from 1 species